rnacentral:misc_RNA from 1 species
GAUGAAGAACGUAGCGAAAUGCGAUAAGUAAUGUGAAUUGCAGAAUUCCGUGAAUCAUCGAAUCUUUGAACGCACAUUGCGCCCCCUGGUAUUCCGGGGGGCAUGCCUGUCCGAGCGUCAUUGCAACCUUCAAGCGCGGCUUGUGUGUUGGGUCUCGUCCCCCGUGGACGGGCCCGAAAGGCAGUGGCGGCGUCCCGACAUGGUGCCCGAGCGUAUGGGAAUCCUCUUCCGCUCGAAUCGGCCCAUGCGGCGCUGGUCGUAACCAAAUUUUUUACCGGUUGACCUCGGAUCAGGUAGGGAUACCCGCUGAACUUAAGCAUAUCAAAACGGAGGA